rnacentral:rRNA from 1 species
UUUUAACCUGAAUUUGAUCCUGCCAGUAGUCAUAUGCUUGUCUCAAGGGCUAAGCCAUGCAUGUGUAAGUAUAAAUAUGUAUUCGUACAGUAUGAAACUGCGAAUGGCUCAUUAAAACAGUUAUAGUUCCUUUGAACGUAGUGUUGCUACUUGGAUAUCCGUAGUAAUUCUAGAGCUAAUACAUGCCUUCUCGCCCGACUUCGGAAGGGUGGUAUCUAUUAGAUAAAAAACCAUCGCACACUCGUGCUUUGUGAUGAUUCAUAAUAGCUUUUCGGAUCGCAUGGCCUUGCGCCGGUGACGGUUCAUUCAAAUUUCUGCCCUAUCAACUUUCGAUGGUAGAGUAGUGGUCUACCAUGGUGUCGACGGGUAACGGGGAAUUAGGGUUCGAUUCCGGAGAGGGAGCCUGAGAAACGGCUACCACAUCCAAGGAAGCAGCAAAGGCGCGCAAA